AAGUUCAUCAACCGAAGUGUCAGAAAUAGAUGUCACGCUUCACAAGUUAUUAAUUUAUUUCGGCUAUAAGUUCAAACAAAAAUUCAGUUUCUGUCAUCUACGUUGGCCGACUUCUUGCGAUUAACACAAAAUAAGAUGUUUAGCUGAAUGUCCAGGCUGCUCUUCAUUAUACAACAGCCUGCCAGAUCCAGCUCCGUUCCUGCAGCCAGUGCUAGCCAGACAUCGCUUCAGUUUUUUUACUUAAGAGGAUGAACUGAUUUAACUCCAACUGUAAGACAUCGGAUAAUUCAUAUGCCAUUGCCUGUACCUUGGAUUUAGGAUGGACCCCACCGAACCUCACCGAAAUGCCCUGCAGGUUGAACUGUGAUGCACCUCAUCAUUUAUCUCUGCCUGCAUCACCUUUGCCUAUUGAUGGACUACACUCUUGAAAUGGAAUACAUAGACUAUCAUUUGCCAACAAAAGCCUUCAUCAGCCAACUAACAAAGGACAAUGCAUCUAUGUGAACUUCUGCUGUUAAUCCAGUUUGGACUUCAAAGACAUUAGUCGUUAAUCUUAAAGUUCAUAAAAAAAUAUUUUAUUUUUAAAACACUGGACCUUAACUCUUAAUUUACAAACUUAAAACCAUGACUUGCACUGAACACAGAUAACUAAUACUGGCAUUAUAAUCAUGUUGUUUAGUCAGAGGGGAACUGGCCCCCCACAGUGAGCCUGGUUUCUCCCAAGGUUAUUUUUCUCCAUUUUGUGUUCCUUGCCACAGUCGCUUUCAGCUUGUUCACAGGGGUUUUAAAUACAAUUAUAUAAUUAUUUAAUUUCGAUACACAUUUUACAAUCAUAUUUAAUCUACACAAUGAUCACUGUAAGACAUUAUAGAUAUUAGUUUCAUUUUUUAUUUAUAUGCAUGAUUUCCAGUAAAGCUGCUUUGAAACGAUGCAUGUUGUGAAAAGCGCUAUACAAAUAAAAAUGACUUGACUAUCCUCUAAGCAGGAUUACA